rnacentral:lncRNA from 1 species
AUAGUCAGUCAGCAGUACUCAUUAAGCUUGUUCUGUGGGCAAAGCAGUGUACUGAGGCCUUAUCAAGAAAAACUGCAGGAACAGAAGUGGUAGACGUGCCCUUUCAGGAUGUGAAUUAGUGUCUGUGGGUCCCCUGGUGAGUAACCCGAACCUCUCAGAGACUGAGGAAGCUGCCUCAAGUAACAGCUGGUAAGUGACAGUGCAGGACUUCUGACUCCAAGCCCAGGCAUCUGUCACACACCAUGGUUGCCAUAAAGAGAGCCUGUCCUCCUUGGAAAUACAGAGCACCGUGCCCUGAAAUAGACUCGAAGUAUUUUCAGAAUAGCACAUCAAGAAGAGCACACGCACGAUAAACUCUGAGCUUGUGUGUCCUGGUCUGCUUCGUGGAAAAGAAUGGUUCAAGAGGGAAAGGUUCCUAAAGGGGGUAACCAUUAAAAUCUAGUUUGAAAGAACAGAGAGCUAUAGAUUGGCAGGCAAGAGAGAAUAAAUUUGGAAUAAGCAUCUUCUCUUGAGGUUACUUAGACAUUCCUACUGUCGUGGAAAGAAUUUUCCACCGUGUCUCCCAGAGUGAGAGGAAUCCGGCUGAAACGUGGCAGGGUGGAUUCAGGUUAAAUAGCACAAAAAAUAUUUCUGGUGAUGAGGUGGUUAAAUACCAAACUAUUUCCCUAAAGGAAGUGGUGAAAUGUAGAUUUUCUUUUCCCUCGGAUGACUUUAGCUUACUCCUGUUGGAAACGGGAGAUGGAAUACAUGAGCUCCGGAAACCUCGUCUGAAAAUGGCAAUUCUGUGGCUAUAAGAUAACUUUAUUAUGCUCACGUAAAAAGAGCUCAGGGCAACCCAUAUAACAAGACUAUUACUCAACCCCGGACCCUCCCAGAGAGCCACAGCGAAGGGUUUUCUCACCUUUCCUCCCUGUUCCCAUAUCCAACAAGCAUGAACCAGAAACGGCCUGAGUCACCAGGUCAUGUGACUGAAAGUGCACACGGGGCCUCUCCACACUUGGCACGGCCAGAUGAAACCCAAAUCGCCGUGCCCUGCAAGCUAAGAGCACCAAGCAGUUGCAGGUUUGUCUCAGGAAACAUCCCGGGGCUGCCGUCCAGCCAUUCAAGCUUUUGAGAAACUUCUUACUUAGAAAUGAUUCAUUCCGAGGCACAAUGGCCUGGCCAUAAGACGGGUUCAGUUGGCCACGUUGUUCACAUUGGGGGUCUGCUGGACACUGCAGCUCCAGGAUUGCUGAGGGGAGGCCUCAGCGCCACUCCCUGCUGUAGACGCCAAUCACUGUUCUCCACAGAAGAGGAUGUUUGCAAUGGCUCCUCCCCUGCUCUCUGGCUGCUGUUCAGGUAUGUGUUAGUCAGUCAGUCAGUUGAUUAGUUGGAUGUUAGUUGGUUAAUUGACUAGUUUGGAUAGUUAGUUUUGCAAAUAGCACAAGGGCACAACCCACCUCCAAGAACACGAUGUUGUUUCACGGGCUCGUUAAAGAUUUCAUUGCCCCUGUGGGAAAUCAGAAAAGGCCCUGAACAGGAAGCCCACAUGAAGAAACUUUUCUCCUCCUGCUCUAAUGAUUUCCAUUUUCCUAAGAAUCCUGGACUCAAAGACUAUUCAAGUUAGUCAGACCUUAGGAAUCAUCAUCUAGCGCGACUUCAUCGUUUUCCAGGAAAGGAAGCCCAAGCCCAGAGAGAUGGAGCGAUUCGCCCAGGGUCACACAUCUGGUCCGUGCCCUUCACCUAGGAGUGGACCAGCACACAUCCAAGGUGAAGGAGGAGGAAAUAGGCCGUUUCCCUCUUGUAUUUCCAGUGAUGGGGUUUGCCUAAGAUUGACAAGUAUAGAUUCAGACGUUUCUCCCUCCUAUCAAUGUCCCAAGCACCUCCAUCACCACCAAACUCACACGUAAAUUGCCUGUUCUGCUCCUUCUAGGAACUCACUAAGCCUUUUAUUUCC